CAGAAGAUCACAUACAUUCAUUACUUACAAAAUAAUUUCGACAAGGUUUUUAGUGCUGACAUCACAUAUGAAAAGCUGUGUCCUCACUGCACUCAUUUAACCAUGGGACGUUGAAGUUUCAUUUCUUUUUCCCCAUUUUGUGGCUGCUUACAAGAUGUGGGCCUGAUCCCGCCCCCAUUGGACUCCAGAGCAGAGCUUCAGCUGAUUACAACAGGAAUCAAAUAAAUGAGGCAAAGGCAUAAUUGGAGGCUGCAGAGUUCUGCAGUGUCUACCAGACCCACAGACAAAGCAUUUAAAGUACACUACCAUUCUGAAAAGUGAAUGGUAGAGAAAAUGUAGAGAAAAUGGCACCUCCUUACUCAACAGAUCUGUUCCAUUUGCUUCUUCAGGGUCACAUCCGCUGAAGCUAGUGCUUGCUGAGUCUCACACCUGCUAGCCCUCCAGAGCCAGCACAGGUGCAGGGAGCGAUUUUGCUGACUCAGCCUGGUUUCCAGACAAUAUGAGUAUCCUCAUCUUAAUUCAGGACCGUGAAGGCUGGGAGUUUCUCUGACAUAAGACAGAGCCAAAGGAAAGGUCAGUAUGGCCCGCAGGGAGAAUUCCUCAUCCACAUACAUACA